CUGUCUGGGUGGUCGCUAAGUUGCGUCCUCGUGGUCUUUACAACUUCGAAGAGUUGUUGUUGUUUAGCUUUAUUUUUAUCACAAUUUCAUCGUUUCGAUUGCAUUUGGCACAGAGUGGUAUACCCGAGAAUGAGUUUUCGAGGUCGCGGACGUGGUGGUGGUGGCGGUAGAGGUGGAUUUCGUGGCGGAAGGGGGGGAUUUCGUGGAAGAGGUGGCGGAGGAAAUUUCCAGCAAGGACCGCCCGAGACGGUCAUAGAGCUUGGUUCAUUCAAUCACCCAUGUGAAGGUGAUCUAGUCUGCAAAUGCACCAAUGAGAAAAUCCCUUACUUCAAUGCCCCUGUAUACCUUGAGAACAAAGAACAAAUUGGCAAAGUUGAUGACAUAUUUGGGCCAAUGCAGGACUUUUUCUUCUCUGUCAAAGUCUCUGAUAACAUGAAUGCUUCCUCGUUUAAAAAAGGCCAAAAGUUCUUUAUUGACCCAUACAAACUUCUUCCUCUAGCAAGAUUUUUACCCAAACCUCCUGGUUCAGGUCCUUCAGGAGGUGUCCAGAAGAGAGGCGGAGGUGGGAGAGGGGGUGGCGGAAGAGGCGGGUGGCGGCAGAGGAGGCCGUGGGGGAGGGGGAUUUGGGCGUGGUCGUGGGGGACGAGGAGGAGGAUUUAGUCGUGGUGGGGGAGGCUUCGGAGGAAGAGGUGGAGGAGGUUUUCGGGGUGGAAGAGGAGGUAAAUGACCCAUGUUUUUGAACAUUCAUUUAUUUUGUCAUUACUUUUUGUGGAAAUACGAGAUGGCUCUUGACUGAUGACAUAAGAAGCCAUGGAAGGUGAUAGGGAAACACAGAUCAGUCUUGGAUUUGAUCAAGAAAGCUAGGCAAGAGUACAAUAAUCAGGCAUAUUGUAUUUUUAUCUUUGUACAUACUCUGGAUGUCAAUUGAAUGGUCUCAAUAUGUAGUAUUAGUACCGUGCAAUGGACCAAUUAUUUCAUAAACAAUAUGUCGAAUUCCAACUAAAGAUAUUGUAAAGGAACCAUGUGAAUGUAAAAGAUUUAUAGCUUAAGCAAAGCAAUUCCACCUUC